rnacentral:rRNA from 1 species
UUCCGGUUGAUCCUGCCGGACCCGACUGCUAUCAGAGUGGGACUAAGCCAUGCGAGUCGACGUGGCAAUGCGUGGCGAACGGCUCAGUAACACGUAGUCAACAUGCCCAGGGGACGUGGAUAACCUCGGGAAACUGAGAAUAAACCACGAUAGGUCACGAUUUCUGGAAUGGAUCAUGGCCCAAAUCUACAUGGCCCCUGGAUUGGACUGCGGCCGAUCAGGCUGUUGGUGAGGUAAUGGCCCACCAAACCUAUGACCGGUACGGGCUCUGAGAGGAGAAGCCCGGAGAUGGGCACUGAGACAAGGGCCCAGGCCCUAUGGGGCGCAGCAGGCGCGAAACCUCUGCAAUAGGCGAAAGCCUGACAGGGUUACUCUGAGUGAUUUCCGCUAAGGGGAUCUUUUGGCACCUCUAAAAAUGGUGCAGAAUAAGGGGUGGGCAAGUCUGGUGUCAGCCGCCGCGGUAAUACCAGCACCCCGAGUGGUCGGGACGAUUAUUGGGCCUAAAGCAUCCGUAGCCGGUUCUGCAAGUCUUCCGUUAAAUCCAGCCGCUCAACGGAUGGGCCGCGGAGGAUACUACAGGACUAGGAGGCGGGAGAGGCAAGCGGUACUCAGUGGGUAGGGGUAAAAUCCUUUGAUCCAUUGAAGACCACCAGUGGCGAAGGCGGCUUGCCAGAACGCGCUCGACGGUGAGGGAUGAAAGCUGGGGGAGCAAACCGGAUUAGAUACCCGGGUAGUCCCAG